UGGGCUGUGGCUCAGUGGUGGAGCGCUUGCCUGGCAUGUGUGAGGCACUGGGUUUGAUCCUCAGCACCACAU
rnacentral:tRNA from 1 species